rnacentral:tRNA from 1 species
UGGAGUUAUAAUCAAUUAUGAUAUUUGACUUGCACUCAAAAAGUGCUCUAUUUUUAAGAGCUAACUUCAA